CUCCGCCCCCGAGCUGUUUGCCUCUAUAAUUGGUGUGUUCAUAACACAUGGAGACGUGGGGGUGGGUACCAUAGUAGGCUCAGCCGUGUUCAACAUCCUGUGCAUCAUUGGUGUGUGUGGGAUAUUUGCGGGGCAGGUUGUUUUUCUCACCAAGUUUUCCGUGUUCAGAGACUCAAUCUACUACAUUUUAUCUGUGGUUGCCCUUAUUGCAUUUAUUUAUGAUGAAAAGAUUUUGUGGUGGGAGAGUCUGAUACUGAUUGUC